GACGAAGGGGGCUAGCGUUGUUCGGAAUUACUGGGCGUAAAGCGCGUGUAGGCGGUUUUCCAAGUUGGGUGUGAAAGCCUUGGGCUUAACCCAAGAAAUGCACUCAGUACUGGAAGACUAGAGGACCGGAGAGGAUAGUGGAAUUCCCAGUGUAGUGGUGAAAUACGUAGAGAUUGGGAAGAACACCAGUGGCGAAGGCGGCUAUCUGGACGGUUUCUGACGCUAAGACGCGAAAGCGUGGGGAGCGAACAGG
rnacentral:rRNA from 1 species